rnacentral:rRNA from 1 species
UCGAACGCGAAAGUCCCGCAAGGGAUGACUAGAGUGGCAAACGGGUGAGUAACGCGUGGGCGACCUACCUCAGAGUGGGGGAUAACCUUCCGAAAGGAGGGCUAAUACCGCAUGACAGCCCGUGUUUGGAUACAUGGGACUCAAAGCCGGGGAUCGCAAGACCUGGCGCUUGGAGAGGGGCCCGCGUCCGAUUAGCUAGUUGGUGGGGUAACGGCCCACCAAGGCUUCGAUCGGUAUCCGGCCUGAGAGGGCGGACGGACACACUGGGACUGAGACACGGCCCAGAUUCCUACGGGAGGCAGCAGUAGGGAAUUGUUCGCAAUGGGCGCAAGCCUGACGACGCAACGCCGCGUGGAGGAUGAAGACCUUCGGGUCGUAAACUCCUUUCGACCGAGAUGAAUACUCGCCCAUCUAAUACAUGGGCGAGCUGACAGUAUCGAGGGAAGAAGCCCCGGCUAACUCCGUGCCAGCAGCCGCGGUAAUACGGGGGGGGCAAGCGUUGUUCGGAAUUACUGGGCGUAAAGGGUUCGUAGGUGGCCGACUAAGUCAGACGUGAAAUCCCUCAGCUUAACUGGGGAACUGCGUCUGAUACUGGUUGGCUUGAGUGCAGGAGAGGAACGCGGAAUUCCAGGUGUAGCGGUGAAAUGCGUAGAUAUCUGGAGGAACACCGGUGGCGAAGGCGGCGUUCUGGACUGCAACUGACACUGAGGAACGAAAGCCAGGGGAGCAAACGGGAUUAGAUACCCCGGUAGUCCUGGCCCUAAACGAUGAAUGC